rnacentral:tRNA from 1 species
GGGCGCUUAGCUCAGCUGGAAGAGCGUCGCCCUUACAAGGCGAAGGUCGGGGGUUCGAGUCCCUCAGCGCCCACCA